rnacentral:lncRNA from 1 species
UGGCCUUUAGAGGCAGGUAAUUAAAUCAGCAAGAGAGGGAGGGGCGAACAGUAAUGGAGACAAAAGAGCCAGGCUAAAAAUACAAGGGAAGGACCAGAGCUGACCGGAUACCAGUCCUUGAAGGCACAGUAUUGAUCAUGCCCAGGUUUACAGCACACCCCUCCCACUCUGCUCUGUUUUCCCUCCUCCACCCCUCUCCUCUACCCACCCAUUUCCUUUUCUUCUUUCCUUUAUUUAUUUGUUUGCUUACUUAUGUGGGUUUUUGUUUGUUUGUUUGUUUUGUUUUGUUUUUUGAGACAGGGUCUUUCUGCGUAAUUCAGGCCUUAAACUCACACCAUCCUUUCUACCUCAACCUCCCAGGUGUUGGAUUGCAGGUAUAUGCCACCACUCCUAGGUUAACCCAUUCUUUGUUUGUUCUCUGUGUGUGUAUGUGUGUGUGUGUGUGUGUGUGUGUGUGUAUGCGUGCGUGUGUGUGUGUGUGUGUGUAUGCGUGCGUGUGUGUGUGUGCGUGUGUAUGCGUGUGUGUGUGUGUGUGUGUGUGUGUGUGUGUGUGUGUGUGUGUGUUGAUGUACAUGUGAAGGCAUAUGGAGGUGAGAGUCAACCCCAGGUAUUUUUCCUCAAAUGCUAUUAUCUACCUCAAAUGCUAUGCGUUUUUGAGGCAAGAUCUCUCCCUGGCCUGGGUCUCACUACUAGGCUGACUGGCCAGUGAGCCCCAGGAAUCUUCUGUCUCUGCUUCCCCUGCUCUGGGAUCACUUUUGCUUGCCGCCACACUAGGUUUUUUGCAUCAUUUCUGGUGUCUGGCUCAGGCCCCUCUACUUGCAGCUAAGCUGUCUCCCCAGCCCUCAGCUCAUUUCUUUCAGGUAACUUUUGGGGUUGUGUUGUUUUCCGCCUAGGAGAUGUUUAAGGGCAAACCUCUGAAUUUACUAGAAAAAUUGACAUGUGUAUACACAUUUAUUCUGAAAGGAUUCCUAGAUUUGGUUCGUUUCUCUAACGAGAUCCAAGAGGCUCCACCCCAAGGAAGACCGCUGGAACC